rnacentral:rRNA from 1 species
GAUGAACGCUGGCGGCGUGCCUAAUACAUGCAAGUCGAGCGAACAGACGAGGAGCUUGCUCCUCUGACGUUAGCGGCGGACGGGUGAGUAACACGUGGAUAACCUACCUAUAAGACUGGGAUAACUUCGGGAAACCGGAGCUAAUACCGGAUAAUAUAUUGAACCGCAUGGUUCAAUAGUGAAAGACGGUUUUGCUGCCACUUAUAGAUGGAUCCGCGCCGCAUUAGCUAUUUGGUAAGGUAACGGCUUACCAAGGCAACGGUGCGUAGCCGACCUGAGAGGGUGAUCGGCCACACUGGAACUGAGAAACGGUCCAGACUCCUACGGGAGGCAGCAGUAGGGAAUCUUCCGCAAUGGGCGAAGGCCUGACGGAGCAACGCCGCGUGAGUGAUGAAGGUCUUCGGAUCGUAAAACUCUGUUAUUAGGGAAGAACAAAUGUGUAAGUAACUAUGCACGUCUUGACGGUACCUAAUCAGAAAGCCACGGCUAACUACGUG